rnacentral:sRNA from 1 species
AGCGUUGUAUAUGGAAAGCCUGAAGACUCUGAACUAAAAGUCAGCACCGGAAAAGGGAGACUUAGUCUUGUGGAACGGAUUGUUAAUUAAUCAAAAUGAGAGUUAAUGAGAAAAUAAGACAACUUUAUUUACAUACAUUGAUCCGCGAAACAUCUAUUUCUAUAUGAUAUUCUAUCUUUCUAAUUAUAAUAAAAUUAAUUAUGUUUUCAUUGCUAUCUGAAAACAUCAUUAUAAUUUUGUGUAACCGACAUUUCAUGAAAAUGACAUAUUAAAAGAAGAA